CUGAGACAGGCCUACACUCAAGGUUCUUGACUCUUGUAUCAGAUUCUAUCAAAACCCAUCCACGGAUCCUGACUUGUCCACUGAUUUCCCUGGAAAGGGAUUCAGCACAUGAGAGGAAACUGAGGCCCAGAGUCAUCUAAAGUUACAGAGCUCUAGGAAGUGGUGAAUCUGAGCGUCACUGCACUCUCUGUGAUCUGGUCCCAUGUGAUUACACUGUGAGCAAGUGAAGACCAGCCUGUGUUUGUCCAACUCUGCAUUUCCUGCUAUGUACUACACAUCAUGUGUGUGUGUGUGUGUUUUCAGCUGAUCAGUCGUGUCUGAC